AGAGUUUGAUCCUGGCUCAGGAUGAACGCUAGCGGGAGGCUUAAUACAUGCAAGUCGAACGGUAAGGCCCUGCUUGCAGGGUACACGAGUGGCGGACGGGUGCGGAACGCGUACGGAACUUACCCUUUACUGGAGCAUAGCCCUGGGAAACUGGGAUUAAUACUCCAUAAUAUAUUAGAAAGGCAUCUUUUUAAUAUUAAAACUCCGGUGGUAAAGGAUAGUCGUGCGUCCCAUUAGCUUGUUGGUGAGGUAAUAGCUCACCAAGGCAACGAUGGGUAGCUGGCGUGAGAGCGUGGCCAGCCACACGGGAACUGAGACACGGUCCCGACUCCUACGGGAGGCAGCAGUAAGGAAUAUUGGACAAUGGGCGAAAGCCUGAUCCAGCCAUCCCGCGUGCAGGAUGAAUGCCCUAUGGGUUGUAAACUGCUUUUCUCAGGGAAGAAACACUCUGAUUUAUCAGAGCUUGACGGUACCUGAGGAAUAAGCACCGGCUAACUCCGUGCCAGCAGCCGCGGUAAUACGGAGGGUGCAAGCGUUAUCCGGAUUUACUGGGUUUAAAGGGUGCGUAGGCGGAUUUUUAAGUCAGUGGUGAAAGCCCGGAGCUCAACUUCGGAACUGCCAUUGAUACUAUUAGUCUUGAAUACAGUUGAGGUGGGCGGAAUGUGUAGUGUAGCGGUGAAAUGCUUAGAUAUUACACAG
rnacentral:rRNA from 1 species